AUGAAGGUGGAUGAAAAUGCUUUGUUAGGAGAGCUAGUGCCACCGCAUUCUCUUCGGUGCCUCGAGAUAUGUGGCUAUGGUGGGGAAACCUGCCUCCCUGCCUGGCGGAUACCAAGCGUAUCAUCUCAUCUCUGUAAUCUUACAGAGGUCACUAUGGAGGACUUCCCGAGGUGUGUGGCCCUGCCGCCGCUGGGUCUAUUUCCAAACCUCCAGCGCCUUGUUCUCAGAAGGAUGGCCAGAAUCACAACGAUUGAUGCCGGUGCACUGAGUGGAGGGAACAUAGAGGCAUUCACUCGAGUCUCUAAGUUCACUAUAGAUGAUAUGGAGAACCUGAAAGAGUUUAAGUUUGCUGCCGUUGAUGAGCUUGCGAUUCAGAAAUGCCCCUUGUUGAGCUUUGGAUCUCUACCGCCCAGAGCUCACAGGUUGCUAAUAUCAGACUCUGACCAAGUGAUGUCUUCAUCGGUCAGAGCAAUAGAUGGUGUGGAAGGCCCUUCUUCUCCGGUAACAGAACUGGUGGUCGAGACCUGCAAUUUGCCUCUAGGUGACUGGAGUUUGCUUCACCACCUCCCUGGACUCUGCAGCUUGACUAUCAAUAACUGUUACAGUCUAACCAGCUCACCGGAGAUUAUCAGCGCCCUAUCCUCUCUCCAGUCACUAUGUUUCUCUCAGUGCCAUGAGCCUAUGGAAUCACUACCAGCGUUCUUGUGUGACCUCACCUCUCUCCAGCAACUUGCGAUCGAUGAGUGCCAUGGCAUUCAAUCUUUGACGGAGGACAUGUUAGCCAAGCUCACUGGCCUCAAAGCUCUGUAUAUUUGGGACUGUCCUGAGCUGAAGAAGUGGUGUGAAACAGAGGAGAACAAACAGAAGCUUGCUCACAUCCGAAUAAAUUUUGAGAAAUUUGAUACCAGGAAGACUGGCGUGCAUCCUCCAGAAAUAUAA
rnacentral:rRNA from 1 species